CCUACGUGCGGCAGCAGUGAGGAAUAUUGGUCAAUGGCCGGAAGGCUGAACCAGCCAAGCCGCGUGAAGGACGAAGGUGCCAAGCAUUGUAAACUUCUUUUGUCAAGGGACAAAAUCAGGCUCGAGAGCCUGACCGAGGGUACUUGAAGAAACAGCAUCGGCUAACUCCGUGCCAGCAGCCGCGGUAAUACGGAGGUUUCGAGCGUUAUCCGGGUUUAUUGGGUUUAAAGGGUGCGUAGGCGGACUGUUAAGUCAGCGGUAAAAGGCCGGGGCUCAACCCCGGCGAGCCGUUGAAACUGGCUGUCGUGAGAAGUCGAGAGGUAUGCGGAAUGCGCAGUGUAGCGGUGAAAUGCUUAGAGAUUGCGCAGAACUCCGAUUGCGAAGGCAGCAUACCGGCGGCGAUCUGACGCUGAGGCACGAAAGCGUGGGUAUCGAACAGGAUUAGAGACCCCAGUAGUC
rnacentral:rRNA from 1 species